CGGAGCGACACCGCGUGAAGGAUGAAGCCCUUUUUGGGUGUAAACUUCUGUUCUGAGGGACGAAACUUUUGACGCGUACCUCAGGAGAAAAGCACCGGCUAAUUCCGUGCCAGCAGCCGCGGUAAUACGGAAGGUGCAAGCGUUACUCGGAAUUACUGGGCGUAAAGCGUCCGCAGGCUUUCUUCCAAGUCUGGUGUAAAAGCACGGAGCUCAACUCCGUGUACGUACCGGAAACUAGAAGGAUAGAGUCAUACAGAGGCAUCUGGAAUUCCAUGU
rnacentral:rRNA from 1 species